UUUCUCUCUUAAUAUAUAUAUUUUUUUACUUUAGAAAAAUACCCUAAAAAUGCCAAAAAAAAAACUUAAGCACCUAUUUUUUAGAGAAUCCAGAAGGCAGUUGCUGCGUCCAAGCCAACCGCUGUCAGAUCACUAUGAGAACAAAUUUAAGAGUCCUGGUCCAAAGCUCUUCAAAAGCGAUGCCUGAGCUUAGUGGAUUCCAUGCCAAGACGCUGUGCAGCUGUUGUUGUUAAAAUAGGACACUGAACUAAAUCUUGAAUGAAUAAUAUAGAUUUAGUAUUAACAGCUCCAAUCUGUUAACCAAUUUGUUACUAUUUGCUAAUUUUAUAAAUUUUAAAUCCAUUUUUCCAAGGGGGGGCUAUUAUUUUGUUCGCCUAAUUUGAGC
rnacentral:lncRNA from 1 species